AGGGUAACCGCCCUGUAUACUAAAAUUGGAACGAUACAGAGAUUAGCAUGGCCCCUGCACAAGGAUGACACGCAAAUUCGUGAAGCGUUCCAUACAAUG
rnacentral:snRNA from 1 species